rnacentral:rRNA from 1 species
UACGGAGGAUGCAAGCGUUAUUCGGAAUGAUUGGGCGUAAAGCGUCCGCAGGUGGCUGUGUAAGUCUGCUGUCAAAGAGCGAAGCUCAACUUCGUAAAGGCAGUGGAAACUACACGGCUAGAGUGCGUUCGGGGCAGAGGGAAUUCCUGGUGUAGCGGUGAAAUGCGUAGAGAUCAGGAAGAACACCGGUGGCGAAGGCGCUCUGCUAGGCCGCAACUGACACUGAGGGACGAAAGCUAGGGGAGCGAAUGGG